GUACAAAAGUACUUGCAGAAAACAGUAGGGAAGACCAUAGUCGAUGUAACCCCUACUUUCCUACAUCAAGAUGCCACUGACCUAGAAUGUGACACACCACAUACACCCCUCCAAUCCCAUCAGUUCAAACAGACAACUGCAUUCCUGUAGGGAUAGCGUAGGGAAAGCGUCUGUCUUUACGGGCAAGUCUCACGUGUGGAGAUGUGGUGGACAAGCUGCCGCGGGUUACCCACGGAGUGAAGUGUUCGAUGCUUGUUAAGACAGAUGAGCUGCAGGCAGCUAGGGACACGCUAGGGACAGUGGCAGUUGUUAUGGUAAAUAGCCAUUUUAAGGGGGGACUGUUGUGGAAAUAAG